rnacentral:rRNA from 1 species
GACGAACGCUGGCGGCGUGCUUAACACAUGCAAGUCGAACGGAAAGGCCCUGCUUUUGUGGGGUGCUCGAGUGGCGAACGGGUGAGUAACACGUGAGUAACCUGCCCUUGACUUUGGGAUAACUUCAGGAAACUGGGGCUAAUACUGGAUAGGAGCUCCUGCUGCAUGGUGGGGGUUGGAAAGUUUCGGCGGUUGGGGAUGGACUCGCGGCUUAUCAGCUUGUUGGUGGGGUAGUGGCUUACCAAGGCUUUGACGGGUAGCCGGCCUGGGAGGGUGACCGGCCACAUUGGGACUGAGAUACGGCCCAGACUCCUACGGGAGGCAGCAGUGGGGAAUAUUGCACAAUGGGCGGAAGCCUGAUGCAGAAACGCCGCGUGCGGGAUGACGGCCUUCGGGUUGUAAACCGCUUUCGCCUGUGACGAAGCGUGAGUGACGGUAAUGGGUAAAGAAGCACCGGCUAACUACGUG